rnacentral:lncRNA from 1 species
UCUCAAGUCAUUUGGUGUUGGACACUAAGACAAACACAUAGGUGCUCGAAAGAGUAAUCGAGUACACUGAAUCACGAUCAAAAGAGAGUUCGAACAUACAUGUCAUGUAAGAACUCGAUAGUUGCAAUAUGCAAAGCAGUCCUUUGACCUGAGGCAUCAUAGAUCUCUAAUGGUUAGGUCCUUGACCUUUGAUCAUGUCAAAGGCAUUCCAUUGGAGUGUCCACGGCAUUGUUAGGGUCAAGCUAUCUAGUCAUGUAGGCAUAUGAAUGCACAACAAGGGAUCUCUAACCUUCCAUGGUGGAAG